rnacentral:rRNA from 1 species
AGCGGCGGACGGGUGAGUAACGCGUGGGUAACCUGCCUCAUACAGGGGGAUAACAGUUGGAAACGGCUGCUAAUACCGCAUAAGCGCACAGUACCGCAUGGUACCGUGUGAAAAACUCCGGUGGUAUGAGAUGGACCCGCGUCUGAUUAGCCAGUUGGUGGGGUAACGGCCUACCAAGGCGACGAUCAGUAGCCGACCUGAGAGGGUGACCGGCCACAUUGGGACUGAGACACGGCCCAA